AGAACGAAUGCUGGCGGCAGGCUUAACACAUGCAAGUCGAGCGAUGUAGCAAUACAUAGCGGCGCACGGGUGAGUAACACGUGGGAAUAUGCCCUUUGGUACGGAAUAGCCUCGGGAAAACUGGGAUUAAUACCGUAUAUGGAGAGAUCUGAAAGAUUUAUCGCCAAAGGAUUAGCCCGCGUCUGAUUAGCUUGUUGGUGAGGUAAUGGCUCACCAAGGCGACGAUCAGUAGCUGGUCUGAGAGGAUGAUCAGCCACACUGGAACUGAGACACGGUCCAGACUCCUACGGGAGGCAGCAGUGGGGAAUAUUGGACAAUGGGCGCAAGCCUGAUCCAGCCAUGCCGCGUGAGUGAUGAAGGCCUUCGGGUUGUAAAGCUCUUUUGGCGGGGACGAUAAUGACGGUACCCGCAGAAUAAGCCCGGCUAACUUCGUGCCAGCAGCCGCGGUAA
rnacentral:rRNA from 1 species